UACACUGUUGAAGUAUGGAGCUAGUGGGCAGUAAAUACAACCACUGCUGGCAUUUAACACCUUUAUUUCUAUUUUUUACUCUCUAUGUUCGGUUAAAACUCGGUGUUACCGACUAACAAAAAUCAAACACCGGCUCCUCAGUUUGAUUUCACUACAAGAAAUAGUGCCAUCACACGCAGAGUACGUUAAAUUACGUUCGUUGGAUGGAAUAUUGCAGGCAAGAAGAAAAGAGAAGAAAGAGGCAAGGAUGGGAGUAAUGUGAUCUUGUCUUGAUUAUAAAGCCUAGCAGCUGCAUUCUGAACAUGUUGGAGGAGCAGUGUGUGCCCUUCCGAAGUGUCUGGGAAAAGAGGGAGGGAGACCCUCCUGUUGGCCUUCACCACUGCUGCAGACGAAAAUCUUGCUGAGCUUGAUGCUGAGGAUAAUUUGAAUUUAUUUAUUUACUUUAUGAAUGCUAAUAUGAACAAUGGCAUAUUCUCUGACUUUGAUAUUCUCACUGUACAUCACAUAAACAGAAAACUCCCCCAACAUUGCAUUUUGAGUAUUCCUGUUCAUGGAAAUACUUUGUGUUUGAGUUGGUGUGACUAAGUGUUCGACAUGCAAAUAUAAUAGUUUGAGCUGUAUAUUAAAGGUAUUCAGCCUUU